rnacentral:lncRNA from 1 species
GAGACACCAAUUGAUUCGUGUUGCACCGAGGAAGAAGUUGUGCACACGUUUAAAUCCUACUAACACAAGAACCAAGAAGGUGUUAGAUAACGUAAAGGAAGAAUAAAGGUAAACAAAUGAAAACCUACAGCUAAGAAUCAAUAAAAAUUGCUGAAAACAGAAAACUCGAAAAACUGCGGAGUAACUUGACAACUUCGUUCGAGGUGUUCCCGAUCUCCAAAAAUUACGAAAUUAAAUCUGGAGUGUCCUUAUAUAUUGAAUUUUUGAUCUGGAAAUUUUGGGCACCAAAUUCAACCCGCUGAAUUUUUUUUUUAAAAUUUUUAUUGAAUUUCGUCUUUUCUGAUUUGUUUGACUUUUUGACUGAUUUUUUUGCGGGAAUAAUUUUUUUAUAUUCAAUCAAAGUGCCAAAAACAUGUAUGUAAAAUUUCAGAUCAGUCGGACAACGUUUACCCACUCAAAUGAAUUUUUUUAAACAAUUUUUCUGGGUAAAACUGCUGUUUAUGCUUUAAAAAAUAGAGAUCAGUUUAGAAAUCAACCAAGAACACCCAAAACGCCCAAAAUCUGAUACCAAAUGAUACGGGGUUGCGCGCGGACCAAGAUCGAG